GACGGUAGCCUAUUACAUAUAUAUAUAGUCCGCUUCGUUCCGUUGCUACCAUAACAUAACGACCCACAGCUGCAGUUUCUCGCUGCAAUUACUAAUAUUGAAUAUAAACAAAAGACGCAAUUUAUGCUGUAGCCAAAACGUGGUGGACGGUUGAAAACAGUUUUCAUAUAGUCCCAUACCAAUACAAGAAAACAUACGAAAGUACAGAGUACAAAAAUACAUACAAGACUGAAUGAUUAGACAUUUAGGUUCUGUAGAGCAUUGUGUGACAAUAUUUGUGAAUUAUUUUCAAAUCUGAUAGCAAUGUUCCAUCUUAAGCCUUCAUGAGGGGGUCAUUUAAAUGCAUUAUAUUUACAUUAUAGCAUUAUAUUACUUUCAGGAGAGAUUUUAGACAUGAUAUCUGUUUGUGAAUGUGCAUGCUCUGCUAAGUUGUACGCGAAUGAAAUGUGGGGAAAACCCGAGAUAUAGACAGCUGCUACUCAGAAAAGUAUAGCGAAAGCAUACUGGUAGAAGUAAAAUAAAGGGAAAGGCAACGGCGGGUAUCGGCGGAAAUGCGGGCGCAUUGCUUUCCACAAACUUAUGCCAUCCCUAUGAAUGAAACAAAUAAACGUAUGGAAAUGAUGUUGAAGAAAAGGUAGCAGAUAUAAAACGCUGUUUGCGCGUCAUCCAAAACCGGUUAAAUAACUGAACAUUUUAUGAGUAAUACAAACGUUUUGGAUUGAUGUUUUCAAAAAUUAUAUACAGUUUCACGUCGUAAAAGCCUGUUUUUUUUAUUUUCCCUUCGUGUCCCCCAACUAUGUGGUAGAAUCCGGCGCCAGUGGGUGUAGAUGUCAGAAAUGGUUCUAAGGGGACGAGACUACCUGAUGACGUUACGAAUAGCAAAGGGUCGCAGAGUAUUUAAUAAUGAGCGCGAAGAGCUCGGCCACACAAAUAAUACAAUGGCUGAAGGAACACCUCAACACGCGUCGCCAUCCAAGUUACCAACGGUACACAAUGAAGACGGUAAACAGCUGCGGGAAAAAUUCCAGCUACUUGUUUAUGCCUGCCGAGACGAGUCUGCCAGUCGGGACGAACUGGCAGCAGAGGCCUUGAAGACGGCCACAUGGGCACUGGCCACUAUAGGCAGGUUGGAGCGGCAGAACCGCGCCGCCAACCAGCGAAGUCGCCAUCUGCACGAGCGACUGCUCAAUGCGCAGCACAAACUAGAGGCCUCUGAGUUGGAAGUCACAAAGCUUCAAGCGACCGUGGCUUUGCAGUUUGACGAUCGGAGAAUGGCGACCACAGCUCGUACAGAUGUGGAAGAAGGAGCUGAUGCAAGCGCAGACAGCGAGCCAACUUACGACCACCUGCCAGACUGAGGGAGGGCAGAAAAACAAAUACGGACUUUAUUCAUGUGUGCCCCCAGCCCUUGCUCCGUUUGAAGAAGCAACAGCACUAAUUUUGUGCACAUUGUGUUAAUGCCAAUAAAAUUGCAUUUGUCCCACAUUUAUUUUGAA